CAUUCUUGGUGAGGAAUCCCCAGGUGAAUCUGCCACGGAGUGAAGCAGCCCACUUGAGCUGUUGGCUACCCCCGGCCCCCCCAACGCCCGUUGGCUUUUGUGACACGUUACACGUUAGUGUUGGUAGAGCCUAGCCGUCAGAGGUACCUGUACCAUAAGCAUCUCUAUGAAAGGUAUUAAUCUCUGGAGAAGACACAUCCACAGUUAGCACUUUCUUCAGAUGCUGACGCUCAGUGAACAGUUGCCUUUGGUCACAAGAUUUAGAAGACACAGUGUCCAUCCUCCCAGAUUGGAUCUCUUUUUCAUAUGGAUCUUCUGUUUCUAUGUCUUUUUAAAAAAUAACUUUUUGGGAAACCUUUUGGAUUACAACUGUUCAUCCUCACCUAUGCAAAGAAAGGGAAGCUAUUGCUGGGAUUUUGAGGAGUUACUUCAUGUGAAAACAAAGAUGGUUGGAAGAGCAUGCUUGUUCAAAUCCUGAAUAGUCCACACAUUCCUAGGCAGUCCGUUGCCACUGGGCAGUAUAGAUAUGUUGUCCAGCCUGCC
rnacentral:sRNA from 1 species